rnacentral:rRNA from 1 species
CUUGGAGGUUGUGCCCUUGAGGCGUGGCUUCCGGAGCUAACGCGUUAAGUAGACCGCCUGGGGAGUACGGCCGCAAGGUUAAAACUCAAAUGAAUUGACGGGGGCCCGCACAAGCGGUGGAGCAUGUGGUUUAAUUCGAUGCAACGCGAAGAACCUUACCUGGUCUUGACAUCCACAGAACUUUCCAGAGAUGGAUUGGUGCCUUCGGGAACUGUGAGACAGGUGCUGCAUGGCUGUCGUCAGCUCGUGUUGUGAAAUGUUGGGUUAAGUCCCGCAACGAGCGCAACCCUUAUCCUUUGUUGCCAGCGAUUAGGUCGGGAACUCAAAGGAGACUGCCAGUGAUAAACUGGAGGAAGGUGGGGAUGACGUCAAGUCAUCAUGGCCCUUACGACCAGGGCUACACACGUGCUACAAUGGCGCAUACAAAGAGAAGCGACCUCGCGAGAGCAAGCGGACCUCAUAAAGUGCGUCGUAGUCCGGAUUGGAGUCUGCAACUCGACUCCAUGAAGUCGGAAUCGCUAGUAAUCGUGGAUCAGAAUGCCACGGUGAAUACGUUCCCGGGCCUUGUACACACCGCCCGUCACACCAUGGGAGUGGGUUGCAAAAGAAGUAGGUAGCUUAACCUUCGGGAGGGCGCUUACCACUUUGUGAUUCAUGACUGGGGUGAAGUCGUAACAAGGUAACCGUAGGGGAACCUGCGGUUGGAUCACCUCCUUA